rnacentral:rRNA from 1 species
UACGUAGGGUGCGAGCGUUGUCCGGAAUUAUUGGGCGUAAAGAGCUCGUAGGCGGCUUGUCGCGUCGGAUGUGAAAGCCCGGGGCUUAACUCCGGGUCUGCAUUCGAUACGGGCAGGCUAGAGUUCGGUAGGGGAGAUCGGAAUUCCUGGUGUAGCGGUGAAAUGCGCAGAUAUCAGGAGGAACACCGGUGGCGAAGGCGGAUCUCUGGGCCGAUACUGACGCUGAGGAGCGAAAGCGUGGGGAG